AGCGGCCACAGGAGAAGGGCCACACCCGAUCCCAUCUCGAACUCGGCAGUUAAGCCUUCUCACGACCCGGUCUGUACUGCCUUCUGGCGGGAAAACCAGUUGCUGCUG
rnacentral:rRNA from 1 species